UUUUGUGGCUCCUUUCUUUUAAAAAGGUUGAUCCACCCCCUACAAUUUUCCACAGUUUUGGGGGGCAUUUCAGGGCAUUCCUAGGCACAAGUGGGGAUUCGUGGGCACAUACAUACCGCAUGGAGCGCACACCACAAAGACUACUAAUUAAUCUCAAGUAAACACCUCAGACAACAUGCUAUAUGUGUAAAAGAAAGAGUGGAUUUUCCAGAAGAAAGACUGAAACGCUCUAGAGAAGCACUGAGAAAAACACAGUCUAUACUCAAGUCCUUAAUGGUUUGGGCCCUGGAUUUCUGAAGGACUGCCUGCUUCCAAGAGUUUCUGCCCACUUGACAAGAUCAUCAGAGGGGGCUCUGCUCCGUGUGCUGACAAUGAGAAAGGCUCAGUUGUCAAUCACAUAGAACAGGGCCUUCUCAAACAUUGUUCCCAGGCUUUGGAUGCUUUCCCAGCUGACAUCCACUCCUCAGUCUCCUUGACAGUUUUUAGGGGGAAAGUAAAGAUGUGGCUCUUCACCCAGGCUUUUGAAUAAAAGUAUUGUUUUUACUGCU